rnacentral:rRNA from 1 species
CCUUGUACACACCGCCCGUCACGGCAUGGGAGUUGGUUCUACCUUAAGACGGCGCGCUAACCGCAAGGGGGGCAGCCGGCCACGGUAGGAUCAGCGACUGGGCCG